GUCUAAGAAAACAGCCAACACCAUGAGAGAAUCAUUCAAGUCAGGCUACUUCUGUUCCUUGAUUUUCUGGGUGUGUAGUGGGCUGUCUCUAAGAGGGCAUGUUUACACUUUGACACCAGGUAGAUAACUGUCUUCAAGUGGGUAAAUGAUCGUAAUAUGAGGGGCACUGCCAUUUUAGAGAGGUCACACUACAUUUAAGCAGAACAGAAAUCCCUUUUGGCAUUUCCACACUUUGUUUAUGGUCUGGCCAGCUUUGGUCUGUACACUUGGCUUCAGAAAUCAAACAAAAACACAAAAAUUACUGAAAAGGGCCAGCCCUAUGAAUCUUCAAAACCCAAAGCAAUUACUAUAAAUUCGCACUUGGUUUUCCAUGGCCUUUGGAAAUCUGACAUAGGGAAGCAAUUUAACAUCUGUUCUAGCCUGUGUGCAAUUGGUACCCUUCUGAGGAGAGAUAGUCAUGGCCAUACUGGUGAUAACCAAUCUGAAGUAUUUGGUUUGGGCUUAGUUUCACAGAGCGAAUCCAGGAUAGCUAAGUUCCCACAUGCAUGCUCUCUAACUGAAAACGAUGAAUAAAGCUUGUGUUUGUUUUACAGAAUUUCUAUUAAACUGUCAGCAGAAUGGAGACCAAUCUGCACUCUGUCACUUCUGUUGACAUUGAGAGGCACGAGAGGGGAAAGAAAUGAAACAGCAGGAAAAGGAGUGCUGGCCGAGAGGCACAGGCCUGGACUCUCAGCUACCUGGGAGGUUGAGACAGGAGAUUACAAACUCAAGGCUGCCUGGCUAUUCCGUGGGUCCAAGGAUAGCCUGGGCAAGUGAGUGAGAGCCUGUCUCAAGACGGUGGCUCCUUCCUGGUUAGCAGCCAUGCUGUGCCUUCAGAGAGGGACUAAGAGAUGGAGAAGGGAAGCAUGUCUGGUGGCGUUCAUUGGAAGCUCGGAAUGAAAGAAAGGACUGUGUGACAAAGUUCUUCUCUGGAGGGUGGCUUCAACUUGACCAUUGUCUAACCAGCCACGGGCCUCCCAAUUCCAGGAAAGGUAACUGUGUCCCCACCUUCAUCUCCUUUCUUCUUAGCUCUGUCACUGAUUGUUCAAAGUAACUCACUUGUGGGCAUCUUGACAUUUAUUAAUUCUAGGCUAGCUCAUUUUGAAUAACCUUUCAUAUUAUAUAUUAUAAGCUUACUUUGUUACUGAACAGAAAAUAAACUCUCUGGAAUUUCAGGUUUUGUAUUCGUUAAGAUUUCUAAAUGAAUUGACAUGUUAGAAUUUUAUCAAGACUUUUAAAGAAAGCACUUUUUCUUUUUCUUUCUUUCCACGUGCUUUCUGCCGUUCAAAUUGAUGUAAAAUUUCAAGACAAUACUGAACAAGGCCUCCCCACCCCUGUUUCCCAUUUCCUAUCCCCGUCAGCACCCACAUAUCCAUCCUGGGAACCUGAGGGUCCAAGGGACUCUUUCACACUGUUGGCUUCGAACCCUCAGCUGACUGGACUGCCCAUGCGGGUUCUUCACACCUCCUGUUCCCACUCAGCUACCCACUGCGUUCCCCGAGUCUGCUACUCUCCGCUAAUACCCAUACAUCACUCUUGCAUGGGUUUUUAAGUGUCUUUGCUCAUUUGAAAAAAGUACAUUUAUCAAUUCUAGGCAAUUAUUUUCACACAGUAUUUGUAACAAGUGUUACAUGAACCAGAAUAGCAAUUUAUAAACUGGUGACUAUCCUCAACAAAUUCUGACUUCCAUAACCCCCUGCCCACUUGGUCAAUUCAUUAUAUUGCCUCUUCUUUCUUCCUCCUUAAUUCUUGCUUCCUAUCACAUGGUAAAUUAGAGAGAGAUUGCCUUGUGAGAGGGAUCUCCUUGGUGAGUAUGGAGUAGUUUCAAAGUCAUGAUGUUGUAGUUACUAUGUGCUAUGUCCACUCUGACUUGCAGUUUCCUGAUGAUGACAGCCAGGUCUGGGGCAAUUUAGUCAAAAGAGUGUUUAUGUAUAUGAAAUGGGCUAUACCUCUUAGUUUUUAUCUGUAGGUUCUUAGAUAAUGUUUUGAUCUUUAUCUAAAAAAUUUUAGGCUAAGCUCUAUAGGCAUGAAAUAAUGACCAGUUAGCCCCCUUAUCACUACAGCAUAAAUUAUGAAUGGGAUGAAAUAUUAAAACAUUUUAUGCUGUUCCAAGGAAUAUACAAUGUAUAAGUUUUUCCCACAAUGAGCUUUCUCAGAAUUUAGUUUGAGCACUGCCUCAGGUUAUUCUUAUUUUUUUUCAUUCGAAUACAUUUACUCAGCACCCACGAUUUUAGGCCUACUCCUGGGCCUGUGUAGGUUUUUGUCAUGAUCUCUGUUCUUAGAGAACUCCCAUUUCAUUCAGAGAAGGUGGAGUUAAAAUAAGGAAUAGAGGGUUAAGUAAGAUUACUUUAGACAUCGAGGACACACACACACACACACACACACACACACACUCACUCACACACACAUUAAUAGGAAGUAAUAUUAGGGGGUUAUGUUGGUCAGGACCCCAGGAAGCAAGCAUCUUGCAUGCCACAGUGGCAGGAGAGGGUUUUAAUCAAGAUGCCAUGGAAGACCAAGAGGGUUUUGUCUUGAAAAAAAAAUGGCAGGUUGGUUGGGAGCUGAUGGUGGAAAUGCCACAGAGUCAGAAUCAUGGGAUUAAACUGUGUUGAGCAUAGAUGGGACCUGCCAACACAGAGAUAUUCGCACCGAACAAUGGAUGAUGGCCACGCUGCCCUGAGUGUUUCUUCAGCUGUACAGGAGGACUCGGUGAGCUUCCUACUCAUCCCUGAGCAACAGAAACACAUUCCUCCAUGUGUUCCUGACCACUGCUUGUUUAAAAAAAAAGGAAAAAGGAAAAUAAGAGUUGUCCAGUGGGAUGACUUUUAUUAUGUUGAUGUAUAUGAAUUGAUGUACAUGAUAUAUCUGAAGUACACACACAUACACCCCACACAGACACACACACUCACACACACACACUCACACACACACACACACACACACACACACACAUACACACACUUUUACAGUGAAGCUCCAGACUGGGGUGUCCUCCCUUAGACAGGCAUAUGCCAGACUUACGGCCCACGUCCCCAAGCCCUACCUGUUCUUGUUCUCUAGCUCUGCGAUCAGCUGCCUUUGCUGUUUAUUUGCAUCGAUGGUGAAGGAGACGUCAGGGGCGCUCCUCUGCUGCGUGGGCUGCUGUAAAACAUGGAGUUGACAUUGCUUACUACUUGGAAUGUGAACUCACAUGUGAGAUGGGCAUCAUGGGAUAUGCAGACAAGGGAGGAGAGACUAUUCCAUGGUUGGGGGCAAGAACAGAAAAUUAAGUUGCUAUUCUAAGAGCAAGCUAUUCUACAGAUCUCAAAUAUACCUACACAGUGGAAGCCAAACCCUCCAUUUCUCAGGUUCUCUGAUACAGAAAUGAGAUUGGGUAAAGGAAAGUAUAUGGGGCUUCAGUUGGGAAUAUCACACUAGUGUAGAGCCUUUGUUCUUCUGUCCACCAUAUUUUUAAAGCUGGGCACACAUUACCAAGAUACCAUAAUCAUAGCACCAAAGACACCAACAAUAAAAAAACCCCACCAAUUUUCUUAUUAAUUAGCACCAGGCAUAAUGAUCACAAUAGACUAGGGCCAUUUGAAGUUAAAGGAUCCCGGAGGCCAACAAGUGCGUCCUUUUGUUCUACUUACGGAUGAGGAGGAUUCUGCCGCCAGUCGCGCGGCGUACCUGGCGAUCAGCCUGUGUUCUUCAUCAAGCCGGUUUGAACUCUCAAGCAUACUGUAGAAAAAAAGGCAAACAGGAUUCUGUCAGGGCACUGAGAGAGACUGAUGUUUUCCUAUCACCAUUAGGGACUUUGGGCUUUUCGAUGCCAAAUAUUUCUAAGCUCUUCAAAUGUCUCUUAGAUUAAUGAUCUUCAACUUGGGUUCGUGACAGGAUCUGAAGUGUGGCUGGGAAGGUCAAUAAUAAGUCCUUGAUAAGCCACUUCAAUUAUUUUAUUAAGAAGACUUUGAUGAGAAGUGACAUGACUUUUGUGAUGUUUUAGAUAUAAAAGAUAUUUUCUCUUUAAUUUAAUUGCUUUUAAUGUUUUUAUUUCAUUUCAUAAAUUAUGCAUGUCAAAAAGUGACAUUAGAAAAUAUGGAAACAGGCAGGAAGAGCAAAGACCCCACUGUAUUGUUGUUGAUCCAAUGACUCCUGUCUCCUGGCACUCACAUCCUCCUGUAAUUUCCCUUUCCUAUAAUCUGCACAUACUGACUUUUGUUUAAUGAACAGAAUAUGGCACAAGAAUGGGAUGUCAUUUCUAACACAUGACUUUAAAAGACUGUGACUUCCAUCGUGGGUGUUCUAUUUCUUGCAUGUUCUAUUCUCUUAUGUACUUGUCCUGAGGGAAUCUGGAUCUCAUGUCCUAUAUCUGCUUGUAUGAUGAGGGCCCAAACCAACCAGGAACCAAGGGAAUGAAUCCCUAUUCGUUGAGGCUGUUCUUGAUCCCAGAGCAAGAGAGGACAGCUGGACCAUUACCCAACAAACAUCCUUGAGUCAAAAGCAUCUUGCUAAGCAAUGCCCAGAUUCCUUCAUCAAACUGUGAGAUGAUGUUUGUUGCGCUAAUCUCCAGGGUAAUAUGCUACUCUGGAAGGGAAGGAUUAUAUGGCUGUGAAUAAGCCACUUCCCAGGCAAUCCAAUGGCGGUGAUGGAAAAUAUUUAGUGGCUCUUAUCAAUUUAAAGAAAAUGCUCACACUAGAAUAAGGCUGACCGUGUCCCUGAAAACCAGGCGAAGUAGGAGUAGUAUGAGCCCUCUCACAUUCCAGAAAAUGUCAUCUUCGGAAACUCUUCCCUAAAGGCUACGCUUUGGGUGACACUGAGAAAAGUUCAAUGAGACUUAACAAUAACACCAAUCUUGUUAACAGACUAAUGUUGACUUGUUUCUACCCAUUAUUGUGAUGGGUAGAAGGUCAGACUCAAGCUCAGAAAUUGGCUAUCAUUCCUAAGCAUACUUAUGUCAUUGUUAGCUGGCCCUUCUACUUUUAUUCUUAAAAUAAAAAUAGGAAGGGCCGGCGAGACUGGUCGGCUGUUAAGAGCACGGGCUACUCUUAGGAGAUUAUUCUCAAGGGUACUCAGUUCUCAGCACCUACACGGUAUCUAUAACUAACUCCAGUUCCAGGGGCUUUGACACCCUCUUAUGGCCUCUGGAAACAGGCAUAUGUGGUACAGAAACAUACAUGGAGACAAAACACUCAUAUGCAAAGAAUAAAUAAAUAAAAAUUAGCUAAUAAUGAUACCCAUGAUUGCUCAUACACGCCUAUGCCAGCACCACCAAUGGUUUUCCACUGUGAAGACUCAGACUCAUAAAGUAAUGCACAAUGAUUCUACAUGAACAUUUACAUAUAAAGGUAAUAUGCAAAAUUAUCUCAAACCUUAUUUUGAAGUGAGAAGAUGAGCGAUCUCUUCGUGUAAACUAAGCUAGGAGCUCAUCCUUGUUUAGUUGUGAGUUUAUCGUUGUAACAAUUUUGCCAGGGCAUCUGGAACAUCCUCCAUGGCUUUUACCUCUGUUUUACCUACAUCCCUCCCAGCUGCUAACCCUACCAGUUUUAACCUUGAGCAGUGCCAUUGUAGACUUAGCCAUUUUCUGUGGACUACAGCAAACAAACAUUCCUGAAUUCCCCAAUUUACCAACCCACCUCUAGCCACAGACAAGUCUUUUCCUUCAGAUUGUAGAACUGAGGUAACAGAUGCAGUCAAUGUCUGGUCCACUGCCUGGGAUACACCAUGUGCUAAGUAUUCGCUGCUAUAUUAUUUUGUCUCUUGACCACUUUGUGAGUCACAUGAAUGAUUCUUGCCUCUUUACAAACUCGCCGCUGUCUGAAACACCCAGAGCAGUCCGUCUCAAACUUUAACCUCUAAACGUGCUAUUCGGGGGUGUGAAACUUUUGUCUCUGAACUCUAGUGACAUUGGUGGGACUGGCUGAGGUUUGAGGGAGUAACCUGAGAAUCUGAAUUUCUGAUGAGGUUUCAGAAGAUUAUAGUCCUGAUCUGUAAGGAUCCCUUAGCAGAACAUUCUAGAAGAUCUAAACAUUUAAAUAAGACACCUGCGUACGAGAAAUAAGGACCAUAUAAAAUGUACAUUUUGUGAGUAUUUAACUGAUAUUAACAUAACUGUUGGAUAUUUUACAGACGUUUUCCUGAGGUAAGAGAAUUCUAGAAUGCAGAACUUACAUUCUAUUUAAUAUCAAUCCCAAAGUCGACUCGACACAAUUUAAACAUAGCGAGGAGGAAUUACUUGUGUACGGUUGGUGCUUGGCUGUAUGUGUAUAUCUUUAUGAAGGACUGUCUGCCGUAUACAGGGCUUGAGAUAGCCACAUUUCUUAUUAUAACUUCAGGAGGAAGGGGAAGUUAUACUGCUUUUGCUUUAGACAAAUGACUAACCUAUUAGGAGACCAUUUAGUUGGAUUUGAACACGUCUAUCAUUUCUGGUCGCUGUGUUAGAGAAUAACUACCCGAUCCUACAUAGUUUGUGCAGAUUAAAAUACCCAGUGGUCCGGGCUCAUUAGUGCUUGAAAGUGACUUUGUCAUGGACACUUGUGAGUGCGUUGAUAGAUACGCAAUAAAAAAAAAAAACCUUGAUAAAAAACUCCAUGGUAAAAGUAUUUUUUAUUAUGAAUGACCUGCAGGCAAAUAAAGUAUGAAGGUUAUAUAAAAUGCCUCCUGGCAAUGCAAGCCACAAGGAUAUGAGAUGCUGUCUCAUAAGUGAUAACUCACACCCCAUGCCUUUCGUCCCCCAGCGUGGCGUGAAUGCACACUGCGGUGACACAUUACUGCAUACAAGUGAUUUAUGAGCCUGCACGAGCCUUUCAGGAUGUUCAAAUUACUCACAGGUGAAUGGGACAUUCCUCUGAUAAAUUCCAUUAUUUCAAGAUCUCAACUCUACACAGUUGAAAAUAAAUGGCCAAUAACCUGUAAAUCAUUAAAAUAAAUACCAGGCCCGGGACUAUCUCCAGUGCUAACUGUUUGUUUGAGGACUUGACGAUCAGUGACCUAUAAGAUGACGACGUGUUAAAGGUAACUGCCGUUCCGUUGGCUGCUUUUGGAAUGAAGGGAUGUUGUAUUGAAAGCUCUUAAGGGUUUGCCUUAAAGGCAUGGCCAGGGUCCUUUACAAGGGACUUCAAAUGGCAUUCUUGGGAUUUUAGGUGACACCCCGUCAGGCAGGGCUAGGCAAAUUGAGGUUUUGCAAAGAUUUCUGGGAACUCAGGUCUGUUCCAUUUAUUUUUUGAUUCUUUUGGGCAUAGGUAGGCCUGAUUUGACUUCUAGGGUGGGGUUGUUAGAGAAAACCAUGAUGUAAUUCAUAAGGCAAUAGAAACACUUCUGUGUUCUCUUUGAAUAGCUUCUCUUUUUUAUUUAUUCGGAUAAAGACACUACAGAUUAAUUUUAAGGUUAUUAAGUCUGAUACAUCAUUCUAUUGACAUUAAGUAGCUAAUACAGUGGUUCUCAACCUUCUAACUGUGACCUUUAACACAGUUCCUUGUGCUGUGGUGACCCCCCAACCAUUGCUAUGUCAUAAUUGUAAUUUUGCUACUUCUAUUAAUUGUAAUGUAAAUAUCUGUGUUUUUAUGGUGCUCUUAGGCAACCUCCAUAAGGGUCAUUAAACCCCCAAAGGGGUUGCAAUCCACAGGUUGAAAACUGCUGAGCUAAUGAGAAGCUCACUCAAGAAGGUAUUAUUUGUUAACUCCUAAAUAGAAGAUGAAAAAAGGUGUGUGUGUGUCUGUGUGUGCAUGCAUAUGUGUAUGCGAGCAUGUGUGUGUAUGCAUGUGUACACUUGUGUGUGUGCAUUUGUAUGUCUUAUGUGUCUGUGUGUGCAUGUAUAUUUAUGGAUGUGUUUGGUGUGUGUAUCUGUGUGUGUAUAUGCAUAUGUCUCUGUGUUUGUUUUCAUACAUGGCAUUGCACACAUGUGGAGAUCACAAAACAAUUUGUGGAAAUCAGGUCUCUCCUUCUACCAUGCGUGUUCCUGGGGUCAAACUCAGGCCAUGGAGCCUGGUGAUAAGAACUUUACCUAAUGAACCAUCUGAGCAGCCUGGAAGGUUAUGUUUUUUAUUUUAUCAGAGUGUAUUCUAUAUUUUUCAGGUGGCUGAGGACAAAAUGUUAUGGAUCACCAAUACUGUCUAAAAAAUUGGAAGGCAGUGAGCGUAAGAGAGUUGAGGUUGAAAAGGAUGACGUAAUCCUAGGGCCUGAUGUUUUUAUGUGACUAAAAUGUGGAGAGGGAAAGAGGUAAGUCUUACAGUUGACCAUCAGGACUCUUAAAUGAGUGGUCUGCAAGGAAAAGGCAUGAAGAAAUACUAUCAUUAGAUCACAACAAUAUAAACUUGUUACUGUGGCUUCUCGGAAGAAAGCCUUCAAACUCCUUUAUUAAGCCCUUCACUUUACAACCUGAUAAAAGUUAAAAUAAAAGUUAUGCAUUCAUUCAAGCUCUGGCCUACACAAUAAAAGCACAGACACAUAGGGUAAAUGAAUUCAGGGUCGAAGUAUGUUGCAUCUUCUUCUGAUGUUAUUUAUCAUAGCCCCAGUACCCCACUAACUUUAGACUGUGACUGUCUGUAGAGAAGGCCUUUCAAUGGAUAAAGCUACAUGAAAUUGUAAGCCAUCGGUGCUAAUUCAACAUGACUGGUGCCCUUUAAGAAGAGGUUCCCAUUAUAUAAGGUACUGUGGUACUUUAUGACUUUAUUUUAUUGUUGUCUUUUUCUUGAGACAAGGUUUCAUGUGGCCUAGAAUGGCCUGAAAAUCACUGAUUGGUUAAGUAUGACAUCGAACCUCAUAUGCUUCUGCCUCUACCUCUGGCAGCAUUAGGAGUUCAAGCCUAUACCCCCAUGGCUAGUUUAUGUGGUAUUGGAGAUCAAACCUGGUGAUGCAUGCACAGCAGGCAAGCAUUCUACCAACUGAGUGACACCCCCAGCCCUGGGGGACAGUUCUGAAUAAGUUGUAUUACAAAUCCACUAAGCAAUAAAUCUACUAGCAAUAUGAUAUACAAUUUCUUGUACUCAAGGACAAGAACAGACCAGUUCUAACCUAGUUACAGGAGAUCAAGAAUCUAAUCAAGAGACAGCAACUGAUUGUGAUCUCGAAUUGCAGUCUAUAGCCUUUAGCUACUUCCCCUUUCUCCCUUAUGGAGUUUUGAGAACCAUACUGGACCAUUGGAACAGCACAAGUAUAGAUAUAAUGUAGAUCUGUUUUCAAUCUUUUGUUCUGCCUGCCAGAGAUAUUUCCCACAAAUCGCCGGUAAGCCCAGGUAGACUGUAAGCUUUCGAGAGGGAAGCAAGUCCAAGAUCUCCAUGUGCUUCCUUGAGAAACCCCCUCCUCCCUCAUUGGAGAAGGGCCUUACAAACCAGACAGUGCUAAAAGCCACUCAGAAAUGAUUCCACAUUUUCAGCAGGCCGACAUUUACUUGUUUGGCUUAGCUUAUAUUAGAACCACCAGCAGUGUAAGUGUUUCUUCAACUUGGAUGCAAGGAAUUUAGACCUGAGCCAGUUUCCCAUGGUGUUAAGUAAUUACUGUAGAGUAUCUCACAUCUCAUAAGAAAUGAGAAUGAGAAGAGAAUGUGCUUUUGUGUGCAAGCCCUCACCAGUGCUCAACCCUGGGUCACUCCUUACAGCUUGCCCACAUUUCCUCAUUAGUAAAAGGGAAGUAAGAAUAUUUAGCCUUGCAAAGAAGCAAGGUAAGUAGUGUAGUACUGCAAACAGAUGUAUAAUUUUUGAAGCAUUUUACAAAUUUGUGACUUAUUAUUCUGGCUAUUUUGUCCAUAAAAGAGAUCAAAGAGAGAAUCCUUGCUAUUUUAAAUCUUAAAAUAAAAAUAAAAUAAAAUAAAAACUCAUGGUAAUAAUUCAUAAACGGUAACAUGCUCACAGCUACUAUGCUUAUUGAUAAUGUGCUCAUGAUAUUUCUUAAAAGGAAAUAAAAAUAGUAUAGUAAGAAAUGCAGAUUUAGUGAGUAGACAUGUGGAGCCUGUCAGCCAGACAGAAGUACUGUCCGUGACAGCUGUCUGUAGGACACGUGUUGGCAGAGGUUUAACAAGAAGCGAUGCAGCAUAGAGGCUAUAAGUUGGGAUAGACCAUCUUCAAAAUCUCCAUUCACUAUUUAGCCAGCAGCUGUGUAACUGGGGGUGGGGCUUCAGGUAAACUCCCUAAAAUGGUAUUAUUUUAAGUGGGAAUGAGCAUCUUCACUCUGUGGACCUGUUCUGAGAUUGGAAGUCGUGCAAAUAACAUUUGUCAGCAGAGACGUUAUCGAGAGGCGAGUGCCAGUUACCUGUUACUACUACACUAUUAUUUAUGUCAUACAUCACCAUUACCUUUCGCCAUAACUGGUGGUAAAGGCUUCUAGCUGCACUGGUGCUAAUACAUGUUAAUACACAUGUCUAGUGACUUCUGACUAGACACAAAGGAAAGGGAGGAAGAUUGGAGAGACCUGAAAAUGUUGGAGCUUCGUUGGCAAGGACACAAAUAAACCAAGAGUAACACGGAGGUGGUGGUUCUGAGUCCAGUCAUCCGUCACUCUGAGGUCCGCUUUGCUUUGUGGUGCAAACCCUUACUGUCUCUUGCCAAGCAGAUGUCAGAUGUAUUUGUGGGGCAGCUUUUAUGGUCCAAAGUGACCGUCAAGUCAGUGUGAUUAGUGACUGAAGUAGGAAAAAUGACAAGAAGUAAGAAAGCCUGAGCUUUUCUCUUUGGACAUUUCUGCUGCAACCUUCACAAAGAACAGGACAAAGUCGUGCAGUGAAAGUGCUCUGGGCAUGCUUAGAGCUGUUCAGGAGAGGACGGGGUGAGAACACCGUGGCUGACUUCUUAUUGGCUCCAUACUGACUGCAUUUUAAGAUGACUGAUAAGAUGUUUUUAAAUAAGUAAUUCAGUACUAAGCUUCAAUCUUCUAGUCACUGUGUAACAAUGGGAGAGCACAUUUAUUGUAAAUAAGAUUAAAGUAAUAAGUAGUUCUGAGAGGCUGAGGUUAGGAGAAAGCAGACACUGCUGAAUUUGGAAGUUCAGGAAAUGUGAGCAAGAUUGAAGUUUUGACUGCUCAAGGAGUAAAACAUAGGACGAAAUUAAACCAGUGUGACAGCUGCACAUUAAAAAUGCAUAUUAAUGUGUUUAUUUUUAUACAUAUUAAGACGAAUAAUUCAUCAAUUAUAAAAUUCUCCCAUGUAUCAAUUCUGCAAAAACCAUCUAAGGUAUUAGAAAUAGUAAUAGGGAUGAAGUUUGCAAACAAUCAUAGGAGGAGAAUGUUCUAGAAACAGAGUUCAGCAACAGAGGGGCAAGAGCCAAAGCACAGAUAUGUGUAUGCUCUGUGAUGAGGGAUGCUAUAAGGAUUUUAGAAUUAAUAAAAAGAAUUUGGACAGUAUAUGAUAUUGUGUGUUGUGGCCACAUUCACUCUCCACUGUCUAUUCCCUUUCCCCCCUGCUCUUCACGACCCCCUCCUUCCCAUCGAGUUCCCUACCUAAAAUGGCUGUUUGACUAUCAGCUUGACUACAUUAAGAAAUAUCCAGGGGAGUGGAGAACACUUGGGGAUGCUCGUUAUGAUAUUUUAACUAAAUUCUAGACACUUUGAAACAACAGAUAGAUUGAUCCUUGGAUGGAUUCAUAAAAUGUCAUUCUUGGGAAGUGAGGGAAAGCAGGAGAUGGUGCCUGGUUGGAGGGAGUAGGCAGCUCAGAAGGUCCAUAGAAGCUUUAUCUUACCCUGACCCCUUCCUGUAUCCCCAUUUGUCUACAUGAUGCUGCUGUGAAAUGACUCUUGACCACAUGCUUUUGCCACCCUGAUAUUCUGCUUCACGAUUGGUCCAGAGACAUAGAACCACAUGAGCAUGGACUACAUUCUCUGAAACCAUGAGCCAAAAUAAAUUAUUGUUUUGGGCAGGUAUUUGGUGACAGUGAUAAAAGAGGUACUAAAACAGAUGCUUUGCAAUAAAGAAGAGGCAAGGAGCCUGCUACGCUGAAGGUUAAACCACAUUAAUGAGAACUGAGCCCAUGGCCUCCCUUAAUGUUUAUAACAUCACAAAAAUCAUGGGUCCUCAGUUUAGAGACAAUUAGAGAUUCUAAGUGAAAUUAAAUUGUUGGCAAAGAAUUGGUCUGAUAAAUAUGUUUGUGCAAUGGUAGCCCAAACUGACCAUUCAUACAGUGAAAAUAUAGCCUGUUUUUACUCUUAUUCAAAUUUUAAUUGAAUAUUUAUUAUUAAAGUGAAAUAACUUUAAUCAAUCUCCCAUGCUACAAUAAAAUAGAGAAAAACUUUGCAACUGUUUAUAAUCUUAAUGCUAGAGAUAUAAAAAUACUGGGUCUAUCUAAACAUCAGCUUUCGAUCUUCUGGGACAUGAAGGCAGGUUUCAUCAGGAUGGCUGUCCCAAUACGUUUGUCAGUGAGAGCAUCACUGAAAGACAAUUUCUCCAAUGCUGCCCUUAUCCAAUGAUUUACGCUUUAUGCUCACAUAACUUUCUCUAUGUUUUGCUUCUAUCUGAAAUGAGCAAAGCAUUGCUUCUCAGAGCGGUGGAGACCCCCACACCCUGGAAACAAGAGCUAUCUCCCUCUUGUAGGAACACGACGCUUGGAAUAGAACCUUCCGACAGGCUCCCGAUUUCUCCGAUUACUAGACGGUAACAGUUGUUAUAGCAGUUUUCACUUUAGCCAAGACAAAGCUAGGACGAGAACUCCGUGAUACAGUGGUGCGAAGUAUCCAGGACAACGUUAGAAAAGAUUUGGUUACCUGACCUAGAAGAAAAGUUCCCCUUUUCUUCUAGUUCCUGGUUCCCCUUUGCCUUGCAGUCCCAGAGCUGCUGGUUAAGACUGCUGGUCAGUAACCCAGGCUGCUCCCCUCCAUAGGGACAGGCUAGCACUCAAGCCUACCCAUGAUGCACUAACCAUGACGGGUUGUUCCGGAGCAUGUUGACAUACAACCCAAUGAGAACAUGUUCGUCAGCUAGCCUGUCUGCCACGUUCAAGCUGUAAUGUAUCCUAAAACAGGGUAGAGGGAAAGAGGAAUUGAGAGAGGUGGAUGGAAACACGCAGACAAAGGAGGAAUGAGUUUGUGAUAGGAAAAGCACGCAGAAAAUUAAGCAAGUAAAGGGAGAUUGGAUGUGAUGUUCUAUGAAAAACCCAAGCAAAACCCAGGCAAGGAAGUCCACAACUUCAAUCUACUAGCUUACAAAACAUUAAGUAUUUUGUUUUUUAGUAAAAAGAUUUGCCUUCUUUGACCACAAACACGAAGGAACUUUUCUGCAUGGAAAACAUAACACACAAAGUAUCACAACAAAGAUUAAGUAUCUUCUGGAUAGUUGGGUUAUAAAAUUAAAUUAUAUAAAUUAUAAAAUUAAAAUAAAAGAAAAAUGGAACAAGAGAAAGUAAUCACACAACUGUGUCCACGUAGAAUAAAGACUUGAUGUUGUUAGUAAGUUAUAAGACGGCUGCUAUCUAGGUCAAACGGUCUUUCACAUGCAAACCACUGACAACAAGAGAAACUCCAUCUUUAGUCAGUUAGUUCUGGAACCCAGCACACUCUGGCUUGGACUUACCCUUUACCCUUCAGAAAGGCUGGAGCAGCCCUAGCCAGGAUUUUGUUCUGUUCUACUUCACUGUCCUUGGGAGGAGAGCUAGUUAAUAAGAUGGGAAAGCCAAGAAGAGCGUAAACACAGCGACACAUCAAGAAUAGAAGCCAGCAUCACAGACUCCUUAGUCUAGAUCCACACUCCGUGUGGACAGAUGGCUUAGGACUUUGAAAUGAUCAGGAUAGCUGCAGAUUUCCAUAGAGGUUAUCUAAGAGAAGAAACCUAUCUGGGAACCAUAACAGCUACCAUGAAUUCAGAGUUGACCUCUGGUAUUUGCUUAACAAGGAACACGUAUUUUUCAUGGCUAGACAUCAGGAGAACCCAUCUAACAUUUACUUCAGGGUAGGAUGGGAACAUCUCAAUAGUUCAUAAAGUCCUACCAACAUUUAGAUGCCUUUUAAGAAGUUUGCUUCUAGGAAGGAGAGCUAGCUCAGCUGUUUAAAGCAUGUCCAUCUCUUUCAGAGGACCCAGGUUUGGUUCCCAACACCCACAUCAGGUUCCCACCACAGCCAUCUGUGAUGUUAACUCUGGGGGAUCUGACUUCUCUUGCCUCUCUGGGCAUCAGGUGAUCAUGUUCAUACAUGGGCACACACCCCUACACAUAGUUUAAAAAGAAGUUUGAUUUUUCUACGCUCCCCGAAUUCUUCAGUGAUCUUUUGAAUACAAACUCGAGUAUUACCUAAAGAUGGCAGCCAUAUCAGGUAUGUUUCACUGUUCUCAAUGAUGUAAGUUACCUGCUCUUGGCUAUGAAGCUACAAAGAAAAGUUUCAGAUGAAAUAUAGUUCAAAGAAAUGCUGACAUUUCUUACAUGAAUAUUAAUAGAUAUCUAAUGGGUAGAUUAAAUAAUUUGGCAUUUUACAUUUAUUAAAAGGAAAAUUUUUGCUUCCUUUAAAUGACAGUUUUUAAGGUUUUAGUAUCUCUUUUAAAGCCAACACUUUGUCGUGGCUAAGUUCCCACAUUUGUGGAAAAAAAAUAAAUUAAGCCCUCUGAUUGUAUUUACAAGAUUAAUUUCUGACUGUGUUUAAAAGGUUCGUGUUUGUUUUUUUUUUUUUUUUGUAUUUUUUGUGGGCACUUUGCCUGUACCUCUGUCUAUGUACCACAUUUAUGCAUCAGGCCACAACUGAAGUUACAAGUAACCGUGAGUGAGCCACCUUGUGGGUGCUUAGAACCAAAGCCCAGUCCUCUGCAAGGACAACAAAUACUUUUAACUACUGACCCUUCGCUCUGGCCAAAUGUUUAACAGUUGAGAUCUAAACUAUGAGGCAUCAAGAUUUCUUCUCCUGCCUCAUAGUUCUAAGUCACGUCUACACCAUAUAUAUCAUAGGCAUAUUUCAAUACCAGGUAUUCCAAAAAAAAAAAAACCCUAAAGUCAUGGAGAAAUGUACAGAUGUUAGGUUGUAUCACAAAUUAAGAGUCUCGCAGAUAAUCAUGUUUGCCAAAUUUAUGAUACUUUCACUCAGACUGUUAGGAAGACAUCAUCAUAUUAAAUGUUGUGUUUAGAAAGGACAAAUAUAUAUAAAAUUGACCUUAAGAAUAAACCAGAGAAGGGGGCAGAAUGUGAUGUUUAAUGUACAUUGUGGAAUGAUCAAAUCAAGCUAAUUAGCAUGGUCAUCGUUUCACAAUGUUAUUUUGUGUGCCUGUAAUAUUUAGAAUCUACUGCUCCAGCAACAUCAAAGUAUGCGGUGGAUUAUUAUUGAUUGCUACCAUGCCUACAACAGAUCACCGUGACUUUAAAACUGAUACAUUAGAUUAAUGUUCUAGGAGGACCUGGUUUCCCUAUGGUCUUGAUGGUAUUUUUCAAGAUGUUGACCUUUAUCCUCUGAAAUGGGAGUUUCACAUCAAGGCCAAUAAUCACUUUGACUCUGUAGCUGGUGUUUGCUGUAAGGUUCUAUUAUUCCACUAAAACAUCUCUCUGAACCUUGUUCCCUGAAGUAAUUCCCCUUAUAUUCCUUCUCAGAUAAUCGCAGUUUUCUUCCUUCUCAGUGUUUCUCCAACCCUUUCCUCUAGUUGAAGGCAGAUCUGUUACAAAAUUGAUCUCAGAGGUCUACAAAGCCACUCACCGCACUGAGAGAAGUCAGCAAGUCUUCCUUCACACAAAAUGAGUUCCCUGCCUGCUAACAUUUCCUUGUUCUUUGACUAUCAGAUUUUAUAGCAUUAUCUUCUUAAACUAAGGAACCAGCAGACUAGUUAAAUUAUUCAGAUAUAUCUUCUGAUGUUGAAUGUAAGAUUAAAAGCAAAGACCCAGUAGAGACAACUAGCGGGUUUUGGAGGAUCAAACACUUUUUAAAAUAUUUCACAUAUAGUUUAAACUCUUCCGUUAGUUUGGAAGGUCGACAGCCAGUGCCAUGAUUGUUGCUUAACAAGAGCAUUUCUGAGGCAUCUUGAAGUGGGAUUCAACACAAAUACGUGUUGGGUUUGCUGAAACUUGAAAUUUGUGUUUUAAACCAACUCUGUGUAUGUUAGAAUACCCUAUUAAGUCCUGAUCAAGGAAAUUUGUUUCUCUCUUAUUGAACAUAGUGUCAAAGGAUUAUAUUUGAUCCUGUGGAAUAUGAAAUAUAUAAUAUCAUAGUGGCUAAAGUGAAAACAAUAUUUUAAACCAUUGCAGACAUUUUAAAGAGCACGAAACUAAUUUUAUUAAUUCUUAACUAAGUGACAGACUGGCAAGAAUGCUUGUAAAGUGAACUCCUUUGUCAAGUGAUUUUCAACAGGGGACCUGCUUCUCGCUAAUUUAUUCAAUAGUGAUGGGGUCAUCAAGCUGACUGAAACUCAGUAAGAAGAGUCCUCUUUUCACUUUAGUUAAGAGACAGUUUUUUGAAACAUACUGUUUUUUUUUCUCUCUACAUUUUAACAGCUCAAAUUUGAAAUAUAAAAAUCUGGUAUAUGGAUAAAAAUUAUGCAUGAAAAUGGAUUAGCAUCUCAGCAGGAAGAUUAGUUACCCAUGGGGCUGGAG